GCGGGUGUAGCUCAAUGGUAGAGCCCCGGCCUUCCAAGCCGGUGGUGUGGGUUCGAUUCCCAUCACCCGCUCCA
rnacentral:tRNA from 2 species